rnacentral:lncRNA from 1 species
CCUUCAUUUAAUGCCAUACUACAUCUAAUGCUUUGUAAUAGCUGUGUCUGUCAUUUCAAUUAGUACGACUACAGCUUUUGCUCCUCCAAACUGAAUGCAAACACUACUUACUCCAUAUUAAAUACUCUAGGUAAAAACGGACUAAGUCGAUAUUGCAAUGAAUUACCAAUCGUUUUUUUUUAUUUACUUUUGUAAGUUUAAUAUGAAGGAAGGAACAGUGCUCCAAGACCAAUGAGACUGAUAUUGUUAAUAUUCUGUGCAAGCUGUUGCAAGUCAAUGGUUGGAAGGAAAAUGUGUAAAAGGAGGGAAUUCCAGAGAGCUGUUCUGGGAAGACUGGGGUGGUGGGUUCGACACCAUAUAAGUGAUAAGAGGAGGAGAAGCAAGAGCGUGGGAUGUGCAUGAAUAGAAGCGGCAGGAAACGAGCCAGUCAAUGUCUAUGAGACCACUGUAGUUGCAGUAGAAAGGACAGCGAGAGGAGACAGUUUAUCUGCGAGCUAGAGGUUGGAAUGUUUCUGAGCAACUUUACACCAAUACAUCAUGUAGCAUUUUUAAAACUCUUUGGAUGAACACUAGGAUGCCUGUGUCUAUUCCCAAGUCCAAAUUAAUUGGUGCCACAAUCUGUGUUUGCUACUUAGUUUUUCACACCUCAAUCCACAUAGAAAGCAGAAACAACCAAAUCAAUAUUACUGUUUUAGAUGGGAGUGAUGUCUUAACUGAGAUACUUCUAAGUUAACUGACUAAGGAUGUGGACCCAGAAUGGUGGAAUCGGUGCAGAUGUUUAAGUCAAUAUGAGAAAGAAAAGAAAACGGACAGGAUUUUACUUUGAAUAUUUGCAACAAAAGAAGUCUGCUAAAAGCAUGCACAGUCAAAAAUAGUGUCACACCUAAAGCUCUCUUUGAUAAUGAGUGGCAAAAAAAUUGCAGUCAGGGCCAUUUUACACUACCCAUGGAAAAAAAGGACUAAGUGCAAGGGCAGUAGCAAAAGAAAUUAACGAUGAGGAAGGUCCAGGAACUGUCAACAAAUGUGUGGCACAAAACUGAUUAAGACAUUGCAAGGAAGGUGACACUAGCCUCAAAGACAAAUCAAGAUCAGGGAGACCUUCUGUUUUGAAAAAUGAGACCUUGCUUGAAAUAGUUGAACAACAGCCAAGCACAAACACUCAUAUAUUGUUGUCAGAAUUUAGUCCUUCGCAAAGCACCUUCAACUGACAUCUCUAUAAGCUCAGCUUUGUAAACAGAUGCUGUUGAGAAACCCCUCAUGAACUGACCAACGGUUAGGCUCAACAACAUGUGAACAUUUGCAAACAACUUCUGGCAAAUCCACAAGAUGCCCAUUUUUGGAGUUGAAUUGUAACUGGAGAUGAAAAAUGGAUCUAUUUUUGUAAUAGGUUCAUCCUGACUAAGCUUCAGAACCUAAUGUCAAACAAGGGGAGUUCAAACAAUGUGUCUGGUGGAAUUUUGAGGUGGGGUUGCACUUUGUAUUAGUCUCAGGCCACGCUGUGAAUGCUAACAUUUAUGCUUAGCAACUGCAAUGAGCAUCUGAUGCUUUGAAGGCAUUGGUCAAUCAAAGAACGCACUCCUACAGUAUGACCAUGCCCCAGCAAAAACUGUCAAUGGGACCAAGGACAAACUUGAGCAACUUGAAGUGCUGCCUCACCCUGCCUACAGUCCAGAUCAUGUACCAUCAGAUUACCACCCUUUCCAAGUCAUGGUUCAUUUCCUGUACAAAAAGAGGUUUAACAAUGUGGAGGAGGUUGAAAACAGGUGCAGGGAGUUUUUUCACUUCUAAACCAAUCAAAUGGUAUAAGUGUAGAAUUGAGUUUCUGGUACAAAGACAGCAACAUACAACAGAAUGUGAUAUGAUAUAUUUUGAUGAAUAAAAAUGCUUUUCA